rnacentral:misc_RNA from 1 species
AAGGACAAGGAAGGUUGUUUUUAACAACCCGACUAGGUUGGGCAAGUAUUUUAUAUUCCGCAUUCUAUUUCUUUUGCAUUGUUAAGGUUGUUUUCAAAACAUUCAGUAUAUGAUCAAGUAUGUUAUGUAAAUAAUCAUGGUAACAAGUAUUUUUCACAUAUAAUAAUAGACGUUUAAGAAUAUCUGUCUUUAGGUGAAGUUAACUUGCAUGGAUCAAAAAUU